AAGGGCUUGAUCUUGAAGAACAGCUUCAUCCAUGGCCAGUGUUUGACAUUCAUGAAUGAGCGGACGUUGUACUGGAUGCAGAAGAUGGACUCCCUGAAAAAGUAUCAACCAGUAUGGACGGUUUUGGAGUCCAGGUGUUUGGCUCAUUUUUAUGGCCAAUGAAAAGGAACACUUCUGUGCCACUGUGUCAUGUUCCUCCAGCGAAGUCCUCUAGUUAUUCUACAAUACUGGCACUGGGGAAAUGCACAGGCUGAGUCAAUCAUUCUGACCCCCACAUGCUGCCUUCAACUCAGUGAGUGUUCGCUAUCUCCUCUGCUCUG